rnacentral:lncRNA from 1 species
AUGAGGGAGCCACGCGGCUUCGCAAUCGCGGGGCCGGCAGGCGUGGGGCAGAGCCGCCAGAGGGCGGGAGCCAGGGAGAAGCCCACUGCAGUGUCACUCCGGCCCCCCGAAGGCGUGUGCUCACACACUCCCGCACGCGCGCGCACACGCACACUCGCACACACUCGGCCGGCCGCGCGCUCAGGCGGGCACGGCCGCCUCGCUCAGCCGCGCGGGGCGCACAAGCCCCACCCCGGCCGCGGCUCCGCGCCCCCCGGGCGACGCCCCCCACUCCCCGGCCGGCGAAAGCCAUUGGGCAGAGGGCGGGCGCGGCGCCCGGGAGCCUCCCGCCGCGCGCCGCGGAGGCCGCGCCACGCGGGAGGGCGCGCCGCGGGUGGAGGCGCCCGGCGCCCGGGCAGGGGCAGCGGCCGGCGGCGGGAGGCGCCCGGAGGCGACGGGGAGCGGGCGGCGGGCGAGCGGCUACUUACUGGCCGGGCUGGCGCGCUCCGCAGAGUCGCCGCGGGAGCCACGCUCGGCCGCCCGGCAGGCGCUGUAGGCGGCGGAGGCAGGGCCGUAGCGGCCGCUCCGCAGACCGAGGGCUCGGCGGGGACCGCCUGUCGCCGCGUCCAGCCCGGGCGCGCCCCCAGCUGCGUUCCUCACUUGGGGUGUUCCCUCCGGCCCCCCGCCCGCACCCCGAGCCCGCGUCCCCGGCGCGCUCCGCGGAGGCCGGUGCCAGCCCCGAGCCUUUUGUUCUGGGGCCGCCCGGCGUCCGCCGCGCUCUCUCCCCGCCCGGGGAAGCUCGCUCCCCAGGCGCAGCCGGGCCCGGCCCCAGCUACCUGCCGCCCGGCCGCAGCCGCGGCUUGGAGCCCCGGGAGGGGCGGGGGUGGGGCCCGGAUCGAGGCGCCGGGGCCCCUGCGGAGAACCGAGGUGCCAAGACCUGGCGGCCCCGGGAGCCCGAGGGCCGGGGCAAGGGAACCCCAGGAUUGUUCCCGGAAAAAAGCUGAACUGGCGCCCUCCCCCUGCCCUCAAAAACCGCCCCCCGCUUGA